CCUACGGGAGGCAGCAGUAGGGAAUAUUGCUCAAUGGGGGAAACCCUGAAGCAGCAACGCCGCGUGGAGGAUGAAGGUUUUCGGAUUGUAAACUCCUUUUGUUAGAGAAGAUAAUGACGGUAUCUAACGAAUAAGCACCGUCUAACUCCGUGCCAGCAGCCGCGGUAAUACGGAGGGUGCAAGCGUUACUCGGAAUCACUGGGCGUAAAGCGCGCGUAGGCGGGAUAGCAAGUCAGAUGUGAAAUCCUAUGGCUUAACCAUAGAACUGCAUUUGAAACUGUUAUUCUAGAGUAUGGGAGAGGUAGGUGGAAUUCUUGGUGUAGGGGUAAAAUCCGUAGAGAUCAAGAGGAAUACUCAUUGCGAAGGCGACCUGCUAGAACAUAACUGACGCUGAUGCGCGAAAGCGUGGGGAGCAAACAGGAUUAGAUACCCCAGUAGUC
rnacentral:rRNA from 1 species